CUUGGCGGCUUCGAGUCCAUCCUCCAUUACUUUAUUCCUUUGGAGAAGGACUCACACAGGACUCGUCGAAGAGAUGAAGAGGAGGCAGGUGGAAGCUCCAACGAUGCCGGUCAAGCUGAAGCCACAGAGCAAGAUGACCACGAAUAUUUCGGGAGGCAUAGAACAAUUCGUUCAAGAUUUCCAACUUGCCGCUGUACUCUCGUUAACAUAUUAGUCAUCCCAGGCA